rnacentral:rRNA from 1 species
AUUGAACGCUGGCGGCAGGCUUAACACAUGCAAGUCGAGCGGAGACUUCGGUCUUAGCGGCGAACGGGUGAGUAAUACCUAGGAAUCUGCCUAUUAGUGGGGGAUAACGAAUCGAAAGGUUCGCUAAUACCGCAUACGUCCUACGGGAGAAAGGGGGGNUCUUCGGACCUCUCGCUAAUAGAUGAGCCUAGGCCGGAUUAGCUAGUUGGUAGGGUAAAGGCCUACCAAGGCGACGAUCUGUAGCUGGUCUGAGAGGAUGGCCAGCCACACUGGAACUGAGACACGGUCCAGACUCCUACGGGAGGCAGCAGUGGGGAAUAUUGGACAAUGGGGGCAACCCUGAUCCAGCCAUGCCGCGUGUGUGAAGAAGGCC